GAUGAACGCUGGCGGCAUGCCUAAUACAUGCAAGUCGAACGAAGUUUCGAGGAAGCUUGCUUCCAAAGAGACUUAGUGGCGAACGGGUGAGUAACACGUAGGUAACCUGCCCAUGUGUCCGGGAUAACUGCUGGAAACGGUAGCUAAAACCGGAUAGGUAUACAGAGCGCAUGCUCAGUAUAUUAAAGCGCCCAUCAAGGCGUGAACAUGGAUGGACCUGCGGCGCAUUAGCUAGUUGGUGAGGUAACGGCCCACCAAGGCGAUGAUGCGUAGCCGGCCUGAGAGGGUAAACGGCCACAUUGGGACUGAGACACGGCCCAA
rnacentral:rRNA from 1 species